rnacentral:lncRNA from 8 species
CCUAAUUGCCUUGAUGCUUUGUUACUUUAGUGGCACAAUCAAACUCUGGCUGGAGUAAGAAGCUUCUCCACUCCCCUCAGAGUGGCCUUCACUCCUUCUCAUGUACUCAUCGACUGUGGUGUCUCUUCUCCCUCCAGCCUGACCCCAAGCCUAUCCCUGGCCCUCCCGGUCCCACCGGCCCUGAGGGGCCCCGGGGGCCACAUGGAGAGGACGGCAGAGACGGUAGAGAUGGCCUUCCAGGUUCACCUGGCAGUGCUGGCACUUCUGGGGCCAAAGGGGACAAGGGGGAGAUCGGUCUUCCUGGACAUAGAGGCAUGCCUGGCCUACCAGGAGCUGCUGGAAUGCCUGGUUCCAUGGGCCCAAGAGGACCUGUGGGUGAGAGAGUGAGUUUUUUCUCUUACCAGAACCUACUAAAGAAACUAUGUCUUCCUAAUAACUGUAACAGCAGGGACAAUGUUAACUAA